GACAGAGGGUGCAAACGUUGUUCGGAUUUACUGGGCGUAAAGCGCGUGUAGGCGGCUUGGCAAGUCGGAUGUGAAAGCCCACGGCUCAACCGUGGAAGCGCAUCCGAAACUGCUUCGCUUGAGUCUCGGAGGGGAAGGUGGAAUGCUUGGUGUAGAGGUGAAAUUCGUAGAUAUCAAGCAGAACACCUGCGGCGAAGGCGGCCUUCUGGACGAUGACUGACGCUGAGACGCGAAAGCGUGGGGAGCAAACAGG
rnacentral:rRNA from 1 species